UUCUUCCUCCCCACUUACUCCCAGCUCCCCUCCACCUUCCACUGCCGGCGCCGCCCCAGCGCCCGGCCAACUCCCUCCCCCGCGGUGGCCGGCGAGCUGCCCAUCUUCAGUGCACCUUGCCGGCGCCCCGUCCUCCCUCCCCGCACCUUGCCCCCGUGCACACGCCCCCCGCUCCACAUCUCCCCGCCACCGGACCACUUCGAACGACAGCGGCCCCCAUCCCGCGUAGGAUGGCGCCGGGUCCGGUGCGUUGCCAUCCUUCCGUGCAGCCUCAACCCGCCCACACGCUGCCCCACCCCGUUCCAGCCGCACGCCACCCGACCUCGCCCCUGUAGCACGCCGCCCCCACCCGCCCCGGCUGCGCCCCUAAAGCACGCCACCCCCACCCACCCCGGCCGCGCGUCGCCCCCACCUGACCGGCCGUCUUCCAGAGGCUCGACGACUUCCACCGUGCCCCGCCCCGGCGAACCACCUUCCUCCCCGCCUUCUCGAGCUAGCAUCGGAUCCAUCGAUCCCGGUAGGGAGCCGUCCUUGAUCUACCUGCCAGAUCCUGCCUCUGCUCAUCUCCCCCGUGCCAGAUGCAGCUCGGUUUGGUGGGCACCACUGUCCUCCCAUGGACGUGUGUGCAGUGCAGUCCGGCGGCGGGGGUAGCCAUCUCCUCUCACGCUUCCAGCAGCAUCAGGAGGAGGAUUGUGGUGAAAUGUUCUCCCAGCUUGCUAUCGUUGCAGGUCAGUUGGGCAUCGGUGCAGUACGCAAUCACUUGAGAGGACGAUUGGCACGCACUUCGGUUUCAGCCGUGCGACACUGCAGUAUGGACGUGCGCGGCAGGAGGUUCGUUGCUGCAGUUUACUUGGUGUUGGCAGGAGGUUCUCCAGCUGGCCGAUGUAGUUUACCUGGUAUAGUUCGGCCGGCUGAUGGUUGCGGUUAAAAGGAAAAUUGUGUGGAGUCCACUUUCUUUGGGAUGAAAAAAAUAAGUGCAAAUGUGGUUUACUAAUUAUUUUCUCAGGGUUCACUUAACUAUAUUUUGUGUGAUGAGAGACGCUCCGACGUUUGAUGUAGUUAGCUAAACCCUGAGAAAAGUUAUAUGGACUCGUUUGAAAAUUGUUUACCAAAGAAGUUCAUUUCGAA